rnacentral:lncRNA from 1 species
CCCCGCAUCUGCGGCUGCUGUGAUACUACAGGAUGCUAACCAGAGAAGGCUGACUUCCCAGGAGAAGGGGCUGGCGCAGGGGCACAACCACGGCGGACUGGAGGACACCUGAGCUGUGCAAAGGAAAUGCGGGUCACAAUGCUGUGGAGAGACCGCCAUCUACUGAUAGAAGGAGGAGUGCCUUUCGCAGCUGGAGGAGAACUCGGCCCUGGUGUGCACUUGGAAAGGAUUCCUUCCGGAAGAAGAAAACCUGCAGAUACUUUGAGGCCAGGAUGUUUAGGCAGGCGACAUCCCUAGGAAAUCCGGCCCAGCGACAGCCUUGCCCCUGCAGAAGCGCAGCCAGGCAGACCCCCUCAGGAGCCUGUGUGAGGCCGAGCUGGACCUCCACUCGGGGCCUGCUCUGCUGUGUGCAAGAAGCAACA